UGAUAUUUCUAAUGUUUUAUUUGAAGAAAGUUAUGAAGGCAUCAACAACAAUCAAUUAACAAGGUGGUCUUCUUGCCUUGGUAUAGAAUACUAUCAAUGGGUGAAAGGAUCUAUCAACCAUCAUCAAAGAGAAAAAAAAUUUAAAAUAUAGAAAAAAUAUGAUUUGUUGCAUCUUAAAUUUUCUAAUUAAAACCUUAAUUGGAUUCAAUCAAAUCUUAUGCCAAACCCUAAAUCCUAAGCAAAUCCUAAAUCCUAAAUCCUAAACAAAUCCUAAAUUUUAAAUCUUGAAUAAAUCCUAAAUCCUAAAUCUUAAAUCAAAUCCUAAAUUCUAAUUCAAUUCUAAAUCUUAAUCAAAUACUAAUAAAAUUCUAAUUAAAUCCUAAAUCCUAAUUUAAUCCUAACUAAAACCUAACUAACUCAACCUAAUCCUAGUAUAAUUAAAAAUCUCAAUAUCUAUUGAUUAAAC
rnacentral:lncRNA from 1 species